AAAGUCGUAACAAGGUUUCCGUAGGUGAACCUGCGGAAGGAUCAUUGUCGAAACCUGCUCAGCAGAAAGACCCGUGAACGUGUUUCAUAUACAUUAGGAGGGGCGAUCCCCAUUAGGGCCUCGCUCGCCUCCAUGUGUUGGGGGGUGCCCUGAGCGGGUGCACCUCAGCGCAAACAACAAACCCCGGCGCAGGAUGCGCCAAGGAACAUGAACACUAGCGUACCCCUCAUCCCGGCUUGCCGGCGUGUUGUGGCACCUAAUGGUUGGAACAAAAAUGACUCUCGGCAACGGAUAUCUCGGCUCUCGCAUCGAUGAAGAACGUAGCGAAAUGCGAUACUUGGUGUGAAUUGCAGAAUCCCGUGAACCAUCGAGUCUUUGAACGCAAGUUGCGCCUGAAGCCAAUAGGCUGAAGGCACGUCUGCCUGGGCGUCACGCAUCGCGUCUCCCCCAUCCACCCCUUGUGGGUUGGUGGGGAAGGAUGAUGGCUUCCCGUGCACUUGAUGGGUGCGGCUGGCCUAAAAAAGGGAGCCCAAUGCGAUUAAUUGCUGCGGCAAUUGGUGGUUGACAAGGCCUUGGCCGUCGUUACAUCGUGUCGUGUGCGCAUGUUGUCAUUUGGAGCUCGCAUGACCCUGAUCAAACCGUUGCGACCCCAGGUCAGGCGGGGCUACCCGCUGAGUUUAAGCAUAUCAAUAAGCGGAGGAA
rnacentral:rRNA from 1 species